rnacentral:rRNA from 1 species
AUUGAACGCUGGCGGCAUGCCUUACACAUGCAAGUCGAACGGCAGCACGGGAGCAAUCCUGGUGGCGAGUGGCGAACGGGUGAGUAAUAUAUCGGAACGUGCCCAGUAGUGGGGGAUAACUGCUCGAAAGAGCAGCUAAUACCGCAUACGACCUGAGGGUGAAAGGGGGGGAUCGCAAGACCCCUCGCUAUUGGAGCGGCCGAUAUCAGAUUAGCUAGUUGGUGGGGUAAAGGCCUACCAAGGCAACGAUCUUUAGUUGGUCUGAGAGGACGACCAGCCACACUGGGACUGAGACACGGCCCAGACUCCUACGGGAGGCAGCAGUGGGGAAUUUUGGACAAUGGGCGCAAGCCUGAUCCAGCAAUGCCGCGUGCAGGAAGAAGGCCUUCGGGUUGUAAACUGCUUUUGUCAGGGAAGAAAUCCUCUAGGUUAAUACCCUUGGGGGGAUGACGGUACCUGAAGAAUAAGCACCGGCUAACUACGUGCCAGCCGCCGCCGUAACAC